rnacentral:lncRNA from 1 species
AAAAAAAAAAAAAAACUUGGCACCGAAAUGAAUUUUAUAUUUUGUGAGGAAUGUGUGCAGCAGUUGUCACAUAACAUGAAAGCCAAGCCCAAAGAAAAUGUGAUAUGGCCCAGAAAAAAAAAAUCAAUUGAAAUAACGAAAUCCCGACCCGUCAAAAUAAAGUUUGCCCUGUUUCACUUCGCUCAUCUUCCUCUACAGCUGCUGCGCUCCCGUCAACCAGCAACCACCAUCCACUGCGGCGACGACGACCUCCGCUUCCUCUCUCUCUCUCUCUUUCUUGCUCUCUCGGUCUCUCUCUCUACCCCUUCGCGUGAGCAAUAGGCCCCAACACUCAAACAACCACAAUUUUUUUUUUUCUGUUCUUGGUUGUUUAUUUGAUAUGUUUUCAUUGGUUUGUCUUGGAUAUUUGAGUGAAAAUCUAAUUUGAAAGCUGAUAAAUUUCUUCUGGGUUUUGCAGUGCUCUGUUUCACUUUGUUGAUUUUGCUAUUUUACUCUUGUGGAACUCAAUGUUUAAGCUUUGAACAGGUAUUACUCAUUGCCAAAUUGCUCUGCUUUUUCAUCAUGGAGCCAUGGAGAUUGAGUCUUUGUGGUUCAGUGUUGGGAGUAAAAACCAGUUGAUGCUCAAAAAUGGACUUGUUGUCCAUUAUUUACUGCAACCAUUAUAUUAUAAAAAGUAAAGCUAAGCACAAGAACCUCAUAUUAUUAGGUUGUCUGGUAAUUUUUUUUAUUUUAUUGCUAAUUUAAGCAUUAAUACGGAUACGGCAAUACGAAUACGGCAAUACGAUAUGAUACGAAAUGAGAAUAUGAUAAAUUUUCAAAAAUUACCAUACAGUUACUAAAAAUAUAUAUAAUUUAAAACAAAUUCUAAAUAAAAAAAAUUAUAAAUGAUAAAUAUAGUAUAGCAUUUUGGGCUUUCUUUUAUGAUUAUUUAUAUUUGUUUAGCCUGUAUAGCUUUUUUCACCCAAACAUAAAAUUAUCCAAAGGCCAUUUUAAUACUAUUGCUUAAGACCCAAACCCAUAAAAAAAUAUACUACAAAUCCUGUUUUAGCAAACGACGUCGUCACUUGAGAUAAUAAAAAUUAAGUCAGUCGACAUCUUCUUCUUCCUCGCGCGCACUGAUCUCUCUCUCUCUCCCCCUCUUCACACGCAGCGCCCAGGGGAUCCUCAACAGCCCCUCAACGGCAAACUUCGCCCGGAGGACCGUAUCCGAAAAGUCCAAUACUCGUGUCCGGAAUGUGGGAUACACGUAUCCGUUGACUUCAAUACGUAUCUAAUGCGUGUCGGACCGUAUCCGAAGAGUAUCGUAUCCAAACGAGUAUCCGAUACGGGAUACGCCACUAAAUCGCUUUCUGAAAAUUAUAAGCACCUUCGUUGGACUAUAUGCGGGGUAGCAGGAGACAAUCAAGAACUUGCUUCAUGUUCUUCUGGAUUGACAGAGAGGUAGCUCUCAUCUACUUAUAACCUUAUAUCUGUCGAUUGGAAUUUCUAUAAUGUUUUGUUGUAGUAUCUGAAACUAUUUGUUAUUUAUCAAUUGGUACUUUUGCAGAUAAGGCCAAUAUUUGGCACGUGCCACGACGACUCACGUGUGUAGGAGGUCACUUCACACUACAGCUUCUUCUUCUAUUCUUCACCCACCUCCCAACCCAACUCACUGUAACUCAAUGGCAACGGUGGACCUAACUGAACCCCCAACAGUAGAAACUUUAUGCCCAGAAACCCCUUCUUCUUUUUCUUCUUCUCCUCCGCUUUCUCCAAAAUCAGCAACCCCAUGUCCCCAAAACCCAACCCAAAGCCCCUCCUCACCGUCAUCAGUACUAGCGACACCGCUAGCAAGGCUAUGGAGACCCACUGCACAGAGAAACCUGAGAAAUCAAUGGUCCAAAUUAGCUUCUUACAGACAGCAAUGGGCAUCUUCUUCUUCUACUGCACGAUCACAUGCCACCGCUCUUGUAAACGCCUAUCUUUCUCAAAAGUACUACUCUCCAGUCUCUACUUAUACAUACCUUUUUAUCAUGGAGACCAUGUGCUGUUCUGGCGCAUGGUUGGAAUUCAAUUUCAUGCUUAAAAAUCCAUAAUUUUGCAUAAAAGCUUCAUAUUUACUGAUUCUUUCAGAUACAUGCCUUCCAUGGAGUUGGGCGCCUUGAGGGAUAUUCCUAAUAUAAAAAAGAAAGCUUCUCAGAAAUUGUUUAAGCAGCAGGUAACAGUAACAAGCAAGCUUUUACUUACUUGACUUCUUUUACAACUCUUGUAUCGUGAUUAGUGUACAACUUGUGCUAAUUUACUUAAUUUUGUUUCAGGUGCUUCAUCGAGGCAAACUUUUAUCAUCAUAUAAACACAUGGUACUCAUCUUCUUCUUUUACCAUCUUAUUUUCUUUUCUUGUUUUAUUAGAAUUUACACAUCUUUAUUUUCUUUUUCUUUUUUGGGAAAAAUUAGAUUGGAUGAGGAACUAGAAACAUUUUUCAUCUUAGUUUAUUAUGUCUUCAAAUUGUCAAGUGCUUAACUCCUGGCAGGAGGAAAAUAUUCUGUUCUUAUUUUAGAGUGGGACUUACAUCAUGUGACCACAUUUUCAAAGAAUACAGUAAGUCUGGUUCUGGUGUUGGACUUGUUCACAACCUCAGACUAUAACAAACUAGAAUCUAGCUACUACUUGACAAUAUGACUUCUUAUUGUUUAUAUAAUCAGUGAGUUGUAUUAUCUAAUCUAAAGGUAGACAGCACAUAGUGCUUGUUUUGACUCAAACAUUGAGGCUAUUAAUUUUAGAAUGACACAUUGGUACAUCAAAUAUUCUUUCAGGAUCAUGUCAAAAUGAUUCAGAUAAGCACUUUGGACCUAAAAGUUACUGAAUAAUAAGUUUGGUUUGACUUUUCUGGUGAUUAUCAUCUUUAUGACAUAGAGUUGCAUAUUAAAUAAUAAGCAAGGAUCUUUAUGACGUAGCAUUGUUUUAUCUCCAGGUCUCAGUUGUAAUUCACAUGGUUAACAUUAGUAGAUCCAUGAAAUGCUUUCUCAAAGGCGCAAGCAGUAGCCCACUUGUACACUUUUCUGGCUAUUCCGAAGAUAAGAAUGAUCCUGGGGAUGGUGGUGGAAUUCCAGUCUUUACAUUUUGGACGAUCUCUUGCUUCGGUUAGUUAAAUUAAAGAUCAUCUAUACUGCGUCUUUCUAUAUGAUAUUGAUUGAUCAUGCCUGUAUAUUUUGUUCUUAUUCAUACAAUCUCAACUGGAAUAAACCCAGUUUAAUUUUGGGUUCUGUUCUUUAAAUUAAUUUUUAGUUAUUAUUAAUUGGGUCAUGGAAACACAUUUGAUUCAAAAUGGCUUUCCCUAGGUCCGAUAUGCACCUACCAAAUUAGUUAUCUUUGUUACUUUUUAGGAAUAAUAUACAAAAUCAGCAUGUGGUUGCAGAAAAUCAAGAACUGACUCUUGAUUUAUGACAGUAGCAUUAGAUGAUAUCAUGUAAGGAAAAUACAAAAUUAUGCUCUGUCAUUACGUAAGAUUAUGUUUAUCUUAUCACAAUGUGGAAGGUUUUUGUGGCUUGAAAAUUUUCAGAUUCCAAUUUACCUUGCGUAGUUACAUGAACACGUGCAUGGUAUAGAGGUUCAAAUUUUGUGAUGAGUUUCUCGCCAUUUUGUUAAUAACUAAUUUGAGAGGUUAGGGAAUAAUCUCAAGUGACAAAAGACAAUACGGGUUAGGACAAGUAAAGGGAAUAUAGUAUAUGAGGGGUCUCUAUCCAAACUUUGCCUUGCUAGCAACAUUUGUCCCUUGGUACUGUACGGUUAGUAAAAGAUUUAGCAAAAGAGUGAUUGUGGUAUUUUGCAUCGAGGUAAAAAAUCUGUAUAUGUAUAAAGCUACUGUCAUAUAAGUUCCACAUGAUUGUGAACUGUGAUUCUUGAACAAUCUCAGAAGAAGUGGCAGAGGAGCUUGUCCAGAUGUUUAUAUUGGAGUUAAAUUUGAAGGUAAGUUGCUGCUUAUUUGCUUCUAUGGUAAUUUCAGCAUGUUCUUAGUUACAUUUUUUUUUUGUUUUGUCACUUUAUUACUUGUUUGUGCUGUUUUGUUUGUGCAGCGUUUGCUAGUGGUGGAGUUGCUAUCCAUUAGUUGCAAAGUUCCACCUUUAAACAGUUUGCAUUGGUCAGAUGAGCUUUAUCCGGGAGAAUUUAGUGAUUUGAGUAUAUGUAACUUAUACUCUGAGGAAACUUGUAAGCCAGUCUAUCCAAGAUUGGAUGAUCAGAAAUCUGGAAUGCCAGCUGCGCGAUUUAACCAGCAGCCAGAUCAUGAUGUUUUGCAGGUAUGGUUGCCAUUGAUUUAAGCUAUUGGUAAAAUAUGUUUGUGCUCAAAUGGGUUCUCCUCUAUUUUCGUAUUUACCCAAUACAUAUGGAAUUUUCUAGUCAGGAUAUACAAUAUAGAAUCAGUUUUCUCGGAUGAAAAGAAUUUCCAGUAUGGAUCUGAAGAAUUGAGACUGAUGCAGAUUCAACAUGUUUUCUUAUUCGCUUUCAAAUAGUUGUUUACCUAAGUGAAAUAGAAAAUUGCCCAUUAUAGUCGAACAAUAAAAGUUAGGAUGAUAUUCAGUUCCUCUGGGAGGUUCUAAUCAGCACUAGGCCUCACAUUCUGAAAUGCAAAACAUCCCUUACAUCAUCAGUAAAACUUAGCAGUACCUAAGCAUUUUGGAGAGUAACUAAAAUGAUUAAGAUGGGAAAUAUCAUAUAGAUGGGGAAGGUAUGUUUACUUUAAAUGCAGCUGCAUAUACUGCCUGGAGAGAUGACAAUAUCAAUUAGUCCUAAUAUUUGCUAUGGAUUUCAGUACCUCUAAACCAAUUUGAUUUUGCAGGUUUAUCUAACAACAUGGCUUGCAGAGGUGAACAUAGAUUCUGACAGGUUAGAAUGAUCUUGGUUACUUUCUAAGGUCAUUUCAGACAUUCUAUUUCUAUUUUGAUAACAUUUGUGCAGUUGUGUACCAUAAAUUAUUGUUUCUUAAGUCGCACAAAAAUGAAAUACCAGGAUGCAAAAUCAUGUUUUAAAGGUUUGAUUAGUUGCUUCUCUUUGUAAAGGGUGGAUGAAAUAUUUGUGGAAGUUGGCGAUGAAAUGCAUGUUAUGAUUUCAUGAGUUGCUGGCCUGUCUAGAAACAAAACGUUUGAAAUUUUGUCAAGGAGGUAUUUAUGUUGAUAUGCUGAAGAUUUGAGACUCUUUUGAAGCGUCCGUGUUAUUUGUAAAGAGGGAAAUGCUUGAAAAUGCCCGAAGGUUGAUUCUGCCAAAGUCCCCAAGCCCCAUAUAGACCACAGGAAAAAACAAAGAACCUUCAAAAGGUGUAGGCGUCUACAUAACAGAAGUCAUUCCAACUUUGCAAGUGAAUUGAAAUACUGAUAUUACUGUAGUUGUUUAUGUUACAUGACCCGUAUUUAACAUAAAUUAGAACUAAUUCCUAUCAAUUGCUUUUAAUCUUUGCUUAAAGUUUUCAUGGACUAUUUGGCAAUUUUGAAGCUGAAAUUACUGAGAACAGGUAAGCGCAGUAAUUUUGAAUUUGAUGUCUCAGCCUCAACGACUCUUCUCAAGCCAGUGUGUUUUGACUUCUUAUUUGGAAAGUGUAUAUGUAUUGAUCAAAUUAUAGCUUUAAUUGUAUCUGUUUGUAGGAUAUUUAUUCUCACGUAAUGUCAAGAGCAAGAACUAAUACAAACACAUCAACCCACUAUAUAAAACUGGACUCUCUUUAUAAACAUAAGGAAUGUGGAUGACCACAUAACAUUCAUAACACCUACUAUAUGAAUAGCUUGUAACUUAUGUAUUAAUUUUUAUAGCUAUGGGCUUGUAAUUUAUGAGUUGUAAAUAUAUUUAUUGAUGCAAGUCUAUAAAUAAGAGGUCUUACCAAUACGAAGGGAACAAGUUUAGAGAACAAAUUCUCGUUUUUUCCCUUUCCUUUAUUUCUCUCUACAUUUUCCUUCUAGUUUUAUAAAGGGUAUACUAGUGAUUUACCCCAUAAAUUUGUACCUAACUUUUGAUUUAUCCAUUAUCUUUUUUUUAUAGAAAAUUAAGAAUACGAACUUUUUUUUUUCCCGUCAAUUUUCCCCUCGCCGUCUAAUGCUCAACAUUUCAUCCAAUUUUUUGAUAAAUCAUUAAAAGUAUAUUUAUUUGUUGUUGAAAAAAUAGGGCACCAAGAAAAAAAACCCUACCCAACCCAUAGACCUAGCGCCCCUUCUCCUUCCCCUCUAGUUUUUUUAGGGGUGGGCACGGUUUGGGUUGGACCGGUUUUUGUCUCAAAUUAGAACCGAUCCGGUACUAUUCAUUUGGUUUGGUUCGAUUCAAUUUUAAUAAAAAAAUUUCAAAAACUGUUCGGUUUGAGUUGAACCGGUUCAAGUUCGGUUUUGAACCGGAUUAUAAAAAUUAUUUUUUAAUACAAUUCUCAACUGAAAUAUUAUUAUUUUUACUUGAAAAUUAACAAAUUAUUCAAUUUCAUAUAAAAAUAAAUAUUAAAGUUAGAAAAGAGAGAUAUUUUCAAAUUGAAUUUGGAUAAAUAUUAGUUUUGUUUUUUUGUGAAAUUAAAAAUAUUGCAUUAAAUAUAAAUAUAUAUUAAAAUUAUAUUUUUUUUUAAGGCUUAAAUGUCGAAAUGGUCCCUGUGUUCUACCUUAUCGGCCAAUUUAGUCCCUGUGUUAUUAAUUUGGCCAAUUUAGUCCCUGUGUUUGUAUAUGUUAACAAAUUUGAUCCUUUCUGUCAAAAUUAUGUUAAAACCUAUAAAUAAAUAAAAAUAUUUAAUCUGUAAUUAAUUAUAAAGAUUUAAACUCAAAUAAUAAUAAUGCUAAAAUGAUUAAAAGCCACACAACCUCAACCUCAAAUGGUCUCGAUUCCUAUAGGAAAAAAAAGGGUUCUUAGUUGAAUUGAUGCCUACUCUUUUCUUGCUGCAAUUUUUCUUCUCUCUUAUGUUUAAGAUUUUCUCAUACUCUACCCUUCAUCUCUCUCUCCUCUUCGAUCCAUUGGCCUGAAUAUCGUUGACUUUUGCUGCAGCGAGGAUGAUCAAUUGGCGGUAGAGCCAUCAAGGUUACAGUGACCGGCUAUGAAGAUAUUCGUGAUUUGUCAGAGAGGAAGCCGAGAGAGAGAGAGAGAGAGAGAGAGAGAGAGAGAGAGAGAAAUUGGGGAAGGUGAAAUUUAAAAAGUUGUUGUGGUUAGGUGGGGUUGGAAUGGUGGUGAGGGUGGCUAUGGUUUGGGGUUGGAGUGGUGGUGGUGAGGGUGGCUGGAUUUGGGAGGUGGUUGAGGUGUGUGCGUGAAAUUUAAAAAAAAAAAAUAUUCCAUUUUCAGAUUGAAUUUAAAAUUUUAUAAUCAAUUACAGUUUUUAUUUUAAUUAAUUUUAAAUUUUAAAUUUUUUAUUUUUGAAGGGAAUGGACCACAUUGACUAACAUAUACAAACACAAGGACCAAAUUGGCCAAAUUGAUAACACAGGGACUAAAUUGGCCUAUGAGAUAAAACACAAGGACCAUUUUAACAUUUAAGCUUUUUUUAAUUUGACUGGUUCGGUUCGGCCCGGUCUGAUUUUUGAAGACAUGGAACCGGAUCCAAAACUGGUCCAGUUCGAUUUUUGACUGGUUGUUGACUUUUUGGUCAACUCAGUUUUUUCCCGAUUUGGUUCGGUGCGGUUCGGUUCGGACUUCCGGUUCGCCGGUUUGAGUGCCCACCCCUAAGUUUUUUUUAUCCUUCCCAUCCUCUUCUCGACGGUUCUCCCCCAGUGACUCCAGCCCAUUCCCAGGGAUUCCAGCUCAGCCCCUUCAACCCUCUCUCUCUCUCUCUCUCUCUCUCUCUCUCUCUCUCUCUCAACCCAGUUGUAUUUUCACUCAAUAUUAUCACCUCCUCCUCCUCCAAAGGAUGCAACCUUUUCCUCUCCCACUCAUACCCACCUCCCUAUCCCCCAGCUCAACUACUCCAACACCCACCCCCCCUUCCACCUCUCUCUCUCUCUCUCUCUCUCUGAAUGGUUAAUGGGAGUAAAGGAAAGCUCAUAUAGAACCCAUAAACAUGAUCAGAACGUUUUUCUCUUAGCCUAUCAAUGGCCAAGUCAAAUGGGUAUUUAAAAUAACAAAUGUAUAUUGCUUCAAUCGGUGAAAACAAAACAAUCAUGUUGAGUUUUUGAAAUUAAAGGUAGGUGUUCAUGGCUUCUGAGUUAGAAUUAGGGAAGUGGCUAGUGGAAUUGGAUGGAAUUUUGGGGAGGAGAGAGAGAGAGAGAGAGAGAGAGAAGGCUGUGGGAGUGGUGGGUUGAUUUUUAUUAAAAUUCUUUUAUCUUUUUGUAUUUUAUAUUUAAUGUUAUUUUAUUUUUCAGUAUUUAGUUAUUUUUAAUGUACAAAUUGACCAAUUUGCCCUUAUAUUUAAUGGCAAAUUAGAUAAAAUGUUGAUGAUUUAGACGAUAUGGGGGAAAUUGGCGGAAAAAAAAGAAGGUUCAUAUCCUUAAUUUUCUAAAAAAAAAGGACAAGGGGCAAAACGAAAGUUAGGUGCAAGUCCAGGGGGUAAAUCACUAGUAUACCCAAUGUUAUCAUCACAAGAGUUCUUGGUAUUAUUUAUUUCUUUGUUUAAUUUGUUCUUUUACUUUUUGCUUCAGCUAGAGUCAUGAGAUGGUUCAAAGUUUUUGCACUCACCCAUGAGAUUUCAUGAGCUUUGAUUUUAAUUAUUUACUAUAUCUUAUGUUCGUAUUAUACAAAAGAUCAAGGCCUGAAGUUCCUCGAUCCUCAUCAUUUAAAUAGAUCAGGACUUGAAGUUCCUUGAUCGAAUCAGAACCUACAGUUCUUUGAUUCUCAAUAGCUGAGUGUCUGAGUACCUCAAUUUUUCAAAAGUAAAUAAGGACAUGAAACUCCUUGAUUUCGUAUUCAUCAUAUUCGGAAUUCCAUAAGAUUUACAUAUCUCACGAAUCCGAACCAAAAGUUUUGGGCUUAUAUGAAUUUAAAUGUAUCAAUUUUAAAACCGAAGUUUUAAUUGUGUCAGCCUUGAAUCAGAAGUUUCGAGUGCUUAUACAUUAAUUUGAAUAUGAAAUUCCAAGCACACAUUAAUUUAAUUGGAUUUACGCAUUUGAACAUGACGCUUCGAAUACAUGUUCUUAUGAAUAUGAAGUUCAUAGUUUUUCAUAGAUUUUAAUAUUAAUAUGAACCUGAAGUUUAUUGGUUCUUUGUGCCUAUUUGACAUUUGAACUUCAUAGAACCUAAAGUUCUAUAUCCAUGAGAUGAAUUAUCAAGAACUCAAAUUUUAGAAUUACAUGGCAAAAUAACAUACUUUGAGGCACAUUGAAUUGGUUGGAAAUCCAAUUAUGAAGUUGCAGUUCUAUCUAUAAAUUGAAUACACAUUAAAAUAGGCAUAUCUUAGAUUUUCAUAGUCUUCAAUUAUUUUAUUUCUCGUACCAAUUCAAUUUUUUUAAUAUUUUAUUAUAUUUAUGUUUUGAUUAUUAGUUUAUUUAUUUUGUUUUACAAUGGUAAUAUUACCCCCAAAAUAUUGACAACCAAAGGCAUCUAUUGGAGAAACAUAAUACUUUCUUUUGUGGCUAUAUUACACAACCACUAAAGUAGUUGAAGCCCAUACCAUUUUAUAUAUUACAUUACUGGUUCGAUGAGACAUGUUUCCAACGAACAACAAUCCUCCCGUACAUUUUGUUUUUGGCAUUCAACUACAUUUAUGAGUUUUUGGAUGUUUAUGUGCCUAUUGCACAAACAUAAUGUACGAGAUGAAUUAUCAAUGCAAAUUGAAAAUCUAAGUUGGUUUUGGUGCACUUUACUGCAUGUUUUAAGGAUUGUUCAUUUGAUAAGACAACUUUCCCGUUGUCAGAGGGAGAUAUGACAGUUCCUAAAGGACGUCGUGAAUUAGCCUUGAAUACAUCCGCCUUUGUCUUAUCAAGAUAACGCAUAUAUAAGUUACAUAACUAUAAGUAACAAUCAAUAAUUAAUAUGUUGCCUGCUUAAAGCAUGACAUAUCGAUAUGUUCUAAAGACUUCACUCCUAAAAGUGGAGAUUAUUUGAAAAAUUCAAGCCCUAUUGAAAAUAACUCUCUAUAGGAGGUUAUGAUCCAUAUAUUCUAAAUAAUUCAUCUUACUAGAGAUUUUUGUCCCAUGAGUGACAACAGAAGCCCCUGAAGAGGCAUUGGUACCCCAAAUCAAUGAGAUGCUUAUAAAUUAUGCACGCACAUGCACAAGAGAAUUGGGCAAUCACGAAUUGAUGAGACAUUUGGUUUAUUAGUAGCUACUACAAUUAUCAAGGGCUAUGAUUAUUUUAAAUCACGUUUCAUGAAUGUCGACAAGGGCUAUGAUUAUUUUAAAUCAUGUUUCAUGAAUGUCGACAAGUUAAGUGAUUGGCCAAAAUGGAAAUAGCAUUAUCACUAAAUAUGACGUGUUGGAUAUUGAACCUAUAACUCAAACACCGAAUUACAAAUGUUAAGUUUGAAGGUUACGGAUUUGUGUUUGUGAAGUGAAAUAAGAUCACUAAUAUGACAUAAGGUUUCCUAGUAGAGACAUGGUUUUAGUCUCCUAUACCAUCGUAGAUGCAUCGACAUUUCUAUGAGUACAAUUGUUAUUUUAAUUCUAAACUUAUAGCAUGUAUUAAAUGCAUAUUUAAUAAGAUUGCAUGGUACAUGGAAAUUUUCAAUGCUCAUGAAAUAUUUGAGAUAAAUCCCAUGAAGGGACUUCUUGAAGGAUAUAAAGUAUCAUGGUAUUAUUAAUUAAGAGUUAACACUAAGAGUUAGAGUAUUUUGAGUUCAAAUUUGAUAUUUGUAGGGACUUUUUGGUUCCAGUAGUUGCAAAUGGGUCUGAGCUGCUGUAAAGAACAAAUGGGUGAAGUUGUUUAUAUACUUGAGUUCAAGAAUCAAGCCCCAAAAGUGCCUCGAAAAGUUCGUGGAGCCUUAGGAAGCAUUUUGGUUUCUUUCACCAACGAGAAAGACAACUGCUUACAGAUCAAUGUUAUGGCUUGGCCUGAGUAGCUUGUGGCAUGGGAGUUGAGCCUUCAUGAGUUUAGCAUUAGAGAGAGAAAGCUUGGAUUUCUGAUGAGAAACAGAGAUGCAAAGCAAGGGGAAAGGGAGAUUUGGGAAGGUUUGAUGAGGGAAGAGAGGGAGAGAUGAGGAUGAAGGGAUGGGUGGCUUGAGAAGAUUUUCCAGCAGCUUGACGAUUGCUUGGUCGUGUUUUGGAUGGUUUGCCAGAAGAGAAAAGAAGAACAUGGGAGAACAUGGCUUGAAAUUGAAGGUUCCAACAGUGAGUGAGGAUGCUUGCUCGGUAUGGCUGUGUUAUUCUGCUGGGUAAGGGAUGCCCCCUUUUAUAGGCGCUAGAAGCUCCUUCUUUUGAGGAAAUCCUAGCUGGUUUUCUCCAAUUUUGCAAAGUAUUCUUCUCUGUUUUCCCUUCACUUCUUCCUAUUCAACCUUCUUUUUUUGUGAAAUUUCCUUAAUCCGAACACACUAGGACAAGAUUUUUUGGAGCUCCAGAGUCUUCCUGCAGUUGGCCUCUGCAGCACUUUCCAUCCCUGACAACGCUUUCUCCUCAUUUCCCUUCUUAUUUUUUGGCAUGAGCUGAUAGAGGAAAGAAAUACCUACACUUCCAGCAACCCGCACACGUGGGUUUCCUUUGGUUUUAACAAUGGCUUGUCUUGGAUUUGGCUCUAGUAAUGUGCUAGAAGUUUUCUUGGGAUAUUUUCAAGAUGUUGGGCCAUUUCCUAAGGUGAUGGGCCACUUGUUUUUUUUUGUUUUUUUUUUUCUCUCAUGCUUACCCAUAUGUUUGGGCUCAAGAAAUGGGCUUGAGUUUUGGUGCUCCCAAGAAGCCCAAAACUUCCACUCCUUGGACCAUCAAUAGGCCUCGUGAACACUCGUAACCAUCCAUACCACAACCCGCUCAGCAAGCCCCAGGUAUUAGCGUGGCUUGGGCCUACUUAAGCUUGUAGCGUGGUUUGGUGCCAAGAUAAAGGUUUUUCGCUUUGCCGUAUUGUAAUGGGUAUGGCCGAGCCAAAUGGCACUCGACGAGAUAAUAAGUGCCGAUUCAUAGUGCCAAUACAUUUUACGAGCUUGUUACAACCCUUCUUCGUGGCGGGUUUCUUAUUUGGUUGGCGUGGCACGUGGACCAUAACUUGUGCAAGCGUACAUGACAAACUCUUACGUAUUCCAGUCAGGCUUCUUCCCUGGUUAAGUGUUGUACUGGGCUAGAAAUAUAUUUGGGCCUAACGUUGAAUUUUUUUGGGCCUCAACAAUAUUGUUGUAACAUAUUCUAACUAUUAGAUAAGUUGUUGAUGCUCCUAUAGAGUUCAAUCAUUUGAAAAGUGAAAAGCAUGUCAAAUAGUGUGAUAAAUGAUCAUGUAUAUGAAGACAAGGUUGUUUAUAUACCUAGAGUUAAAGAAGGGUUCAUCAAGGGUGGUGGAGCAAAACUCUUUACCAAAGUUUUUUUAUUUCUUUUUCUUUUCGAAGUCAAUAUUCCAGAUUUUGUUGAAGAUCAUGGGGGAUAGUUCUACUACAUAUAGGAUAUAUGUGCUUUGUACUCCUUUCCUUCGACUAGGUUUUUGUUCCACCAGUUCCUAGCAAGGUUUUAACAAGGUAGCAUAAGCUCGUCCAACACCAUAUCAAUAAUUUAGAAGAAAGUUGUACUCUUUUUCUUUUUGCUUCGGUUUUGUCCCACUGGGUUUUCCAAGCAAGGUUUUUAAUGAGGCAACUAUAUCAUUGUAUGGUGGCCAUUCAAGGGGGAGUGUUAUAAACAUAAGGAAUGUGGAUGACCACCAUAACAUCCAUAACACCCACCAUAUGAAUAGCUUGUACCUUAUGCACUCAUUUCUAUAGUUAUGGGCUUGUAAUUUAUAAGUUGUUAACGUAUUUAUAUCAUUGUAAGCCUAUUAACGUAUUUAUAGAAGAAAAAAAAGAAGAUAAUUCAUGUAUAAAGACACAAGGGUUUAUAGUUCAAGUGAUUAAAAGCAUCUAUCAUGCACUCGAGGUCUUAGGUUCAAUUUCCCCCUCCCUAAUAGUGAUUGUAUCAAAAAGACUAUGCAUAACUUCUUAAUCUUUUCACAGGUGUUUUCUUUUUUCUUCUAAUUAUCUCUUUAAGUCCAUCUUUUACCUAUUAAUAGUAAGAAUACUACAAGAUAUCAUAUGAUUCUGAAAUAAUGAGAGUCAUAGGUGAACCGUGAAAUGCACUUAAUGGCAUAGUAUAAUACUUCUAGAUGGUCAUCUAAAUUUUGAUGAGAUCCCACAGUAUAGGAUAACAAUUUUGAAAUGAACUAUUAAUUUACUGAUGAAAUAAAAAUGUAUCUUAUUGAAUGGUUUUUUAAUUGUAUGUCAAUCUUGAUUUUUCUUUUUUAUUAAUCAAAAAUGGGAGAUUCGAACUUGGAACAUUUCCAACAUUAGGAAGAGACGUACCACUAGAUCAACAACAACUUGUCAUCAAUCUUGAGGUAGAAAAACGUUAUAGAAUGAUUUUGAUUUAAUUUAUAGGGAUUCCAAAAAAUAAACUCAAAGAUCCACUAUCAUGUGCGCUGAAAAGAAACUCAAGCAGAAAUUCACAAAUCAAAGAUCAUGUACCAUUACAAUUACUCAAGUACUUGUUUCCUAAUUCCUACAGUUCAUAAAUGCCUAGAAAUGGCAUUAAAACUGACCCAAUCCACAGCUUGCCAUCCUUCUCUUCCACUUCACUAAUGAAUCUCAUAUUCUUUCCCUCACAAUCUUCCAAAACUUCCAAAAUUUCACCAGUCUCGCUUAACUUGAUAGCAGUUGCAUGGGCCUUCCCUCCGACUAGUAGCGAAUGCAGUUGUUUAAAAUCAAGGGGAAGCUUUAGCAGUGACUUGCCAACCAAUCUGUUAGAGACAAACCACUUUGCGAAAAAUCCCCUCUUUGCAUGCAGUGCAACCCAAAAUUCCCCUUUCGAGUUCCUUCUUAUGUUGUCUGGGAAUCCUGGAAGCUCUGCAAAAGUAUCAGUAUUUCCGGCAUUUGGACCAUGAAGCCAAAGCCUCAAGAUCCUGCAAGUAGUUGUUUCAGCCACUAGCACAAAAGAGUGGUCUUUGCUCAAUGCAACACCGUUGGCAAAGGCAAGACCUCGUAGUAAAACUGUUACUUCUUUGUUUGAUUUAUUGUAUUUGAGUAAUCUGCCAGUUCGGUCUCCAUUCAAGAUUGAUGACAUGAAUUGCCUGCAAGCCCACAGAAGCAUGAAAUUCUAAACUUUGAAGUAAUUUUAGCAAAGAAUUCCUAAGUACGGAAAUGGAGUAAUAGAAUCCAAAUGCAGACAGAUCUUAGAUUAUGGAAAUAAAGGAUAAUGAUGGCGAAAGAGAACAACAAAACAAGAAAAGAGCUAGCACUCCCUUUCAACUCAAUCUGGCACUGUUGAUUUGGCAUCCAAAUUUUCGAAGAAUCAAUUGGACACUGAUGCUUAUAGAAUGCAAAAAAGAGACCAUAACACCGAAAUAUAACUUUUGCAUAGAUAUUUCUACUGGAUGCUUUCUACAGUCAACAAAUCAAAUAUUUUACACAGAAAAUGUGUGACCAUUGAAGUGAAGCAGACUACAAGUUAUCUGAAGUUUGAAAUUGAAAGAGCUUAAAUGCCAAAUUAUCCCAAGAAAUGUCUCUCGAACACACUACUUUUAUGAAAUUUGAAAUUUUAAUUUGCACAUUAAACUGUUGAAGGCUACAUACUUUUGGCAUGUCCUACCAUUCCAUCCACAUUGUUCUCUGACAAAAACUGAAGUGGCUGGUGAAAGGGAAAUUCUACUUCAAAUCACUUUCAGAUGCAACCCUAAAGCCUAAGGAGAUAAAGUAAGUCUUUGUGCUUAAAUUACCUUCUGUGGAAUACUGUGCUUGAAUCUGUGAAGUAAAUCACAUCCUUAUGCUCAUCAAUGUCCAUAUCAUUGGUGAAGCGAAGUGGCUGACCUUCAACUUCUCUGACCACUUGAGAUGCCAAACCUCCAGCAGGGCCUACUACUUGAAGGCCAAGGUAUGCAUCAGCAAUAUAGAGAUCUCCAGUUUCCGUAUCAAACUUUAGUCCUAAAGGCCUUCCACAAACAUGCUCCAGUUCUGGUGCAAAAGGGCGAAUGCACUCCUUCCUGGAAAGAAUAAUUUCAAUUAAUUAAAGCUUAAUAGAAAGCAUUGCUAUGAAACAGAUGAUAUCAGUAAUAUAUGUAAGCUUAAAUUUAAUUUAACAGGGUAUGGAGCAUAAUCCCAAUGAACAAAGCAAACUAUCCCCCUUUCAGCUUAACUCCAUGUGACUAUGUUGGUAACUCCUUGCUGUAAAUAAAUUGACAAAAAGUUUAACAUGAAAUAAACUGUUUAGAAAUGUUAUCAAACUUUGUGCAUCACAAAGUAAAACAUGGAAAAUAUUUCAUUGACUCUUUGAUGUUAAAGACUCCAUGUUCAUGUAUGGCUUAGCGCUAAACUGGGUAUUAAGUGAUUCAGGGGCUAACUGCAUGAUCAUUUUUUGAGGUGAUGCUCCAUGAAUUGAAAUGCUUUUCUAGGAGCAAACUUUCUUUAUUAAAAAACUAUGUGGUCAUGCACCAACUUUGACAUGUUCCUGACAUCCAGUGUUACAUCGUUUAGAUUGGGUUCCCUACAAUACUGCUUGUGAAGUAAGCAGUGCUGCAGAAAGAAGUCUACCUCAUUAGCUAAAGUACUUGUGAGGUUGUGUUGCUCUCCACUGCGUGACAUGCUUCUGGUUAACACGACAAUGGGUAUAAAUUCUCAGUUCCUAGAACAAGUUGCAAAAUAAUUACAUGGGAUUAAAUCUCUCUUCAUGCAGAAAAAACUAUUUAUGUCAUUAUUUCAUUUAUAUACUGUGAAAGUGAGUGCAAGGUACAGGGUUGAACCACAUCUACUGAGUCCAAAGGUUUCAAUGUUCAUUGAUAGGCUCUAUUUCUAGUUAGCCAUACUGCAGCUUUUGACCAAAACAGCGGUUACUAACAGCAGUUGUCAGCUAGUAAUUAAUCGAAAGCCAAAAGUACAUACUAGAAAGAACAUACAUCAGCUCUUGCAUACACUUCAAUAGUUCAAUGUAAUAAUUACAAAAUAAUUGAAAGCAUUGAAUGACAUUAUUGAAACUUGGCACAGAAAGUUAAAUUACGGAAUAAGGUUAGAUUGUCUGAAAAUCAAAUUCCUAGAUUCUUCUGGGAGUGAACAUCCUAAUUAUAUAGGUUGUAUCUAAAAUAUAGACAACCACAAUCAAAUGUAUGUCAUUUCCUAAUAAAACUAAAGCUCAAAGUGUUUUGUGUGUGUUUUCAGUCAAUCCCACUACUUACUAAGAACAGAAUCUUGAAAAGUUAGACUUAUUACAACAUUUUACAGACCAAGGAAUAAGGAUCCUCUAGCCAUAUAAGGUUCCAGUCCACUUCAAGCAUGUUCACACAUUUUUCGUCAGCUUGAGCUCUGCUUAAUUGGGUUUUGAUUUAUGGGUGCUUAGUCGAAAACCAACCAAAAUCCUCUUAAGCUAGAGACAAUCUGUUUGUAUGAGAUUCAUCGGAAGAAAAGAAAACGAAAAAGUUGCUGCAAGAAUUGUGAAGAGAGCUUUUCUGCAAUUUGGUCCCAUCCAUGUUAGUUACACUGAUGAACUCCACAAGUGUGCUUCUUGCCACAAGGUGCACAAUAGAGCCUAAUUUGAUCAUUCGAAUUCGAUGGUAGUAAUUCUAGUGCAAGUGCAAGAUAACGUGAACUGGGUAAAAUCUAAAUUUCAAAGACCCUUUACAAUCCAUUUGGUCAGGUUGCUAAAUGAUCACAAAUUAGUACAUUUUGGCCAGAAAUGCAUGAACCCAAAUCAAAUUUUGAAGUGGUCAGUCUAUUGAAUUGAUUGUCACAUAAAAAAAAAACAAAAACAAAAAGUGUAAGCAGCUGAUAUUAUUCAAUACUUGCAAAGCACAGACACCAGCAACAUGUAGAAUUAUUGAAUGAAGCAAACAAUAUUCAAUGCUUCAAUAAAAUGCUUGCAAGCACAAAGCAGACAUAAAUAAGAAGGUUGGUUACCUCUGAGAAGAGGUGACAGCAAAGUCAGUCCAACGACGGUCGUUUUGAUCCCACUUGAGAAUACGGCCGUCGGCGACGCCGGUGUAGGGCCCACCGCCGUUGGGGUCGAAGGCAAGGCUCUCUGGGCCAAGGGCUCCGGGUACCUGUAUUAAUUGUGCAGUGUGGAGGAGGUCAUGGGACCCUGAAAUAGGAGCUACUCCAUUACCAAAAAGCUUCAACAAAUAAAGUGGGUUCAGAGCCAACACUACGGACACUACAGCUAGUGUUGCUGCAAUCAAAGUUAACUUUGAGUUCAUCUUGUUCUUUUAGAAAAAUAAAAAUUGGGUUUGACUCUCCAGUUAGAUGAGGUCUGUUCUGUGUUGCUCUCGAGAUACUUGUUGUAAGGAGUUGGGUUUGACCCUCCAUUUCCAAAAUUGGGAAGGUGAUCAUUCCAAUUACAACAGACUUUUUUCUUCACCUAACACUUCCAUUCACUUUCAAAAUACAGUGUCUUCAGUCCGGCCAAAAAAAAUGUCAAAUUUUAGCUCGUCAAAUUCUGAGUGAAUUUAGCCCAAAUACUAGUCCACACACUUCAAGUAAUUUGGGCUCUUCAAAUCCAAAUCCACCCACUGAAAAUCCAUUAAACCAAAUAGGCCCUAAUUGAAAUGCAAAAGUUGAUUGGUGAGCAGUAUUUGGACGACUGAUACUUUCUUUUAAAGACUCAAACGCAUAACUGAGACCAAUUUAGUUAGGGCCAUGCAAAAGUCAUGCAAGUCUUCCAAUGUUUCUUGCCUUUGUGCAUCUCAAAGCUUUAAAAAUAAAAACUAAAACUGAAAAAAACUAAACAAAUAAAAGUAUUAAAUUAUAAUUUAAUACUUAUUAUUAUAUGAACUCUAUUUGCUUUUAAAAAUAUAAUAAAGUAAUAUGAUAUUUGGUAUUUCGGAUGGAGUUAAAUUUUUUCAAAAAUAUCAAAUUACCACAUAAGCCAUCGAAUUCAAUUUAACAAUUUGCAUUUAACAUCUCCCUUGGAGAUGCUUUAAGAUGCAUUCCACGAACUUCAUAACUGAUCUGUAAAUUCCAAAACUUAGGCAUUAUUAAAGUUCAAAGUUCAAGCAUGAUACCCAACAAGCAUAGGCUAGGCUGGCAACAAGAUUUGUAACAAAUGUAUGAGACAAGAUUCCUGUAUGGCAAAAACUAUUAUUGUACGCCUACCUAAUAUGUCUAAUCUCAUCUAACAAAACUUCCGUUAGCUAUACAUUUCUUUCUCACCAAAUUUAUUAGAAAUGUGUAACAAGUAUAGUGUUCAGUUACUUUCAAUGAUGCCAAUUCUUAUCCGACUUUAUAAUUUUUGGUUUUAGCUUUAUACAAACGAGAAUCUAUUCUAAAUUAAUAUAAUUUACAGAAAGGUGAAUUCAAACUUAGGUGCAAAGGGCCGUCCUCACUGCUCUGACUUAUGCGAGUUUAUAACUUUAAUGAUACAACACUUCAUGCUGACACCUAUGACAAAUUACAAUUAUAAAGUCUUCUUUCAUCAAUUUAAUAGUGUAUUAAUUUAAAUAGUUGAAUUGUCAUUGCCCAUAAUGAACAUUAUGCCUCACAUCUAAUAUUUUGGUGAGUUAUUAACUUGUCAUCCUCACAAGAAGAGCAAAAAUGUUACUGCAAAACUAGUUAAACCGGGUAAAAUUUUGUUACAGUCGUCUCAUGCCAGCCAGCAUUGGUAAAUUGGAGAGGUCAUUUUCAUUUGGUAAAUGGUAAAUAAUAAUUAAAGUGUGUUUGUUUGGAUGGGGGAUGGGGCAAUUUACCCCACAAACCACCCUUUUCUUCUGCAUUGACUGCCAUUGCAUUCUUCUUUAUAAAAAGCAGGCCUGAGUCUGACUGACCCACUACACCGGGCAAGAAUCAUUGAAUUUGAAGACUUCAAAUAUGCCAAAGGAUCCUUGGUUUUGAAGAGCAAAUCUUUCUUUUUCAAAUAAAAGAUUUGGGACCAUUUUUCUUCCCAUUAAAAUCAGCCAUAACUACAGCAAAUUUCAGAUUUGCAAGGGCAAUUUAAUUAUGGUACUGGUUCUUCACUUUUGUAUUGGUAUAUGCAUGUCUAUGGACAAUGGGUAUGGUAAUGAGUUGCCUUUGAAAAUAAUAUUUGACCCUUUACAUAUCAUAUAUUCCGUGUUGGUGAAGAUAUUUAGAAUCACCAAAUAUUCCAUGCUCCUAAAAAUAAAAAUAAACAAACAACACAGCGCAUACUUCACGACCCCAAUUUGUAUUUGCAAAGGGCUUAUAGUUCCAGUGAUUAAAAACAGUUAUUCCUGCAUCUGAGGUCAUGUGUUUGAAUUCCCCUUUCCAUAAUAUUUCGCGUGUAAAAAAAAAUGUUGUAAUUGAGUAAUUCCAAAGUUACAAUCCCAAAAAUAGCCCAUCACUUGUUUAUAAACAAACAAUUUAUCCUUGUCAUCCGAAUUUCUAAAUUUGGAACCCUUUCCAUCCAAAUAGAUCCUAAAGGUCAAGAACUGUAAGCAUAACAAGUUUGCACAUAACAUAAGCACAUGCACAAGUGGCCUAGCCUCCUAAUUUAAGUUCCUUCAUUAAUAAUAAACCAAUAAUCACAAGUGGCCUAGCCUACUAAUAAUUAGAAUCAUUAUAAAGUACCACACAUUCUAAUAUUAUUGCCUUAGAAAGGGCAAAAAAAAAAGAAAGGAAUUUGCGGAUGAUCAUCUCCAAUCCCAAAAGAAGCACUUUCUAACCUUUUGGUACCAAACAUAUGUGUUCAUUAUUGUAUUACAAAUCUAGCAACUAGGGUUUUUAGGUUGUUAUGGACGUAUUAUAUAUAUAUAUAUAUAUAUAUAUAUGUGUGUGUGUGUAGGCUUUUACUUGAAUUCUAUAUUCCCAAAAGGAUCUGUUUAAACACAAAGUAUCUCUUGGAAUUGCAGUUGGGUUCUCCUAGUGCAAUGUAUCGUUCCAUGAACAUGAAAACCUAAAAAACAAUAAACAAACAGUUCCAAUAUAAAACUAUGCUUAAUUAACGGAUUACAUCAUGAUAUUAGUGCGUUGACUAUUUAAUUAGUUUUAAGCAGCAGCUGCAGAGUUGACAAAUGUCAAGUGUGCAUUUUUACUGAGAAUAGGAAAUUAUUGGAAAGAAUGUUAUGGAAAUUCAUGAAAAUACCAAAUAUACUUUUAUUUUAUUCAGAACUCGCUUGAGAGUGAUCGAUUAUGGAUAUGUUGGAAUUACUUUUGGAGAGAAGCAUCACCUGUUUGCUUCAUUAUAAUCACUUAAAACCAUUUAAAUAUAGAAGUGAUUUUUGACCUAUCCAGAAUUACUCCCAAAUGAGUUCUCAAUUUAUUUUGAUAGCAUGCGACUUUUUUGGAUAACGAUUUCGGCACUGAUGUUUAUCUUUUAGCACUUCCACUAUGAGCGUAUAAAAUUACAAAAUACAUUUAAAGUGUUAAAGUCUAAAUUAGAAGUGAAAAAUCACUACCUAGUUUUUUUAAAUUAAGAGACUGAUGAGUGUCAUAUACUCCAUUAUUAAAACAUAAUCAUCGACAAAUCUGCGUUUAGUACUUUGUUCCAAAAUCUGUACUUUUGGGCCCAAGAUCAUCCUUAAAUAUGACUCCGUUACAACGAAAGUUGUUGUAAUUUGAUAAGAUAUGACAAGAAUUUACAACGUUUUGAGCGUGAGUUUUUUCGCAAUCAGAAAUCCUACAUGUCAAGUAAUUCGAUGAUAAGGUCUUAUAUGGGUGUCUGAAUUAAAUACCACCCUUCCUCAUUCCAUACCGAUUUGACUUGUUCUUGGUAUGAGGACAUAUUUCCUUUUCUUUGAAAUGCAGUUGUGAAAAGGCAAUAUUUGUCAUGCUACAUAGUUUUUACAAGCCAAAUUAGGAAAUGGGAUAAUAAAGAAAAAAGAUUUUAAGUGGAAGGAUAAAUACUCUUAACUUGAGGUACACUUCUUUUAUUUGCUACUUUGAUGAAUAGUUUUCCAGCAACCAAUAUACAUAUUGAUUGUCCUCAAUCGUACGAGAAAUACUUGCAUGAAACAGUAAUAGCACUAUAUUGCUAUUUCCAGUCAAUUACGGUAUGCCACGGAUUUCAUACAAGUUUUUUUGCAAUCGUACCCUUAAUUUGAAGUUAAAAUUUAAUGCAAGAUCUUCUUUCUAAUCCAUUUAGAAAUGUACUGUGUGACAUCAUGAGAUACCUUUUUUUGACUAAUAACAAGAGGUGAACAUCUAAACCCUGUGUUAUAUAGAAAGCAGUGUAGAACUAAUUCUGAUAGCAGAGACGACUUUCAAAAGCCAUCAAAACAAAGGCUUCUUUUAGCCUUUCUCUUUGCACUUAUUUUCCAACUUUGACAAAUCGUUAAGCUUUUUCAGAUAGUUUUUUUUUUUUAAUGUCACUUUUGGUCGUGCAUGAUUUAUUUGCACAUAAUAUAAUUGAUCUCCCACCUAAGACCUAACUUAUGUCCUUGAUCGCAAUCUUUUUAAAUCAUUUGUUUAUUUUUUCAAGAUCUUCAAGUACAACAGUAUCUCUUAAAACUAUAUACUGCCUUGGUUUUGGUUGUGGAUUCACUGUAUUUGCCGACAAGUCUCUUUAAUUACACAUCUAAAUCAUGAUUGGAUGCACCCGCUUCUCUCACUAAACAUAUAAUUAGGACCUCUAACCAUAUCUUCUCUAUUAUUUUUAAAUUCUUUCUUAUUCAUAUUGUUUCCUCUUCCCUUGAUGGCUCUAUAUAACUUAGUUAACAUAUGAUGAAUAUAUUCUUCAGAAUAAGUCCAAAUCUUUUAGGUACAUUAAAUUAUUGAGUAAUUAUGUUUGUUUGCUUCCGUUUAUUUGAUGCAUUAUGAUAAGAAAUUGGGGGCACGACUUAUAUUAUUUCAAUAUUAUUAUAAGAAAUACUGAAGCGCAAUGGUCCCAUUAGUGUAAUGGUUUGGAGGAAUUGCUCCUCCAAGAAAUGUAUUCAGUUCGAGUCCUAGCGCAUCCGUGUAGUGUAUAUGAGUUUAAUAUAUUAUCGUCCCGCUCAAUAGGAGAGGUUUUAAAAAAAAGAAGAAAUUAUUGAAGCAUUAUAAGUGUGGCUUUGUUUAAUUGACAAGUGGGUGGCUAAUUUAAGGGUUAAUUUGAACAGGUAGGUUUUGGUUCAACUUUUUUCAAGUGGGAUCUUAUUGUCACAUUUCCAUUGAUUCAUGAAUAGACUAACGUCCACCAUAUCUUGUCACAUGUAACAAUUUUUUGGAGCACGUCAAUUUGUUGACAUUGACCUAACACUAAACUCAUAUUAAUUUCAUUAAAAGUCAAAUACUAAUUAUUUGGUUUAUAUAAAUCAUCAAAAUAUAUGGAGUUUAUCAUUUGAGAACUUUUAUCUAAAAAGAAACAUAAAAAAAAGUGGUUGACAAACAUUAUACCUUGAAAAGGUCCACAUGUGCCUAAUGUGAUGUGAAGUUAUUUAUUUAUAGUUUGGUGGAAAAUAAAAUAAAAUAAAUAUUCCUACCUAAAUUUCAUAACUGAAAAAAUAAAUUAGAACGACUUUGCAUUGCUUUUUAUUUAAUUCAUCAUCUUCAGUUCUAGACAUCCAUGAUUUAGUUUUAAUUAUAUAUUGACCGUGAGCCAUUUCCUUAUAGUAGGGAUUUUUUUUUAUUUUUUAUUUUGGGUGGGUUUGGACCAUUACCUUAUAGUUGAAGUUAUGUUGUCCAUGUGCUUAUGUUAUUAUUUUAUAAAAUGUAUUAAUAACAAGAAAUUUUAGAUUUAAAAAUAUAUAUAUAUAUAUAUAUAUCAAGGAAUUAGCUGUGAAUAGUGCCACUCAAUGAUAUGUCGUGACAGCUUAAGACAUGCCCAUCCACGACAUUAGGAAUAUUAGGGAGGUGGGUUGGGUAUUAUAUAUAUACAAAUUGAGUAAUGUUAUGUUUACCACAUUUUUCAUACCACAUUGUGUACCACCUUUCUAAUAGAGGUGGAGUCGAUCAAUACAAUGAGGCCCACCUCUAUUAGAGAGGUGGUACACAAUGUGAUAAGUCUAGCAUUUUUCAUAGAAAUUAGUCGGAAUAGGAAAAAAAAAGAGUGGGUUAUAAUAAAAUUGGUGUGGUAUGGUAUGAGGGGAAAAAAUGAGUAUUGCUUGGCUCCUAUUCAUAUUUGGCACCAAAUUGAUGAAAUUCUUUAUGAUGUGUGAUUUAAAAAAAAAAACAUCUUUCAGCAUAAUAUGAACUAAAAACAUUUUUGUCGCGUCAUGUGUGAUUAAGAAAAAAAACAUCUCUCAUGUAGCGCGUGUAAAAACUAAUAGAAUUCAUAUUUUAAAACGCUUAUAUAUGUAAUAAUCGAAAAUAAUAACGGAUGAUGAUGGAUGCCCACUUACCCAUAUAUUGUGGUACCCAAGAUCACUUUUAGGGGACUUACUUUUAGACAUGGAGAAAAAGAAAUUGAAGAAGGUGAAGGGGGGGACCAUGAAGGCAUGAACUAGAAAAGCCCUAAGACAAGGAAGAAGGGGGACCAUAUAUCAUAUCAUAUAUAUGAUAUCUAUAUAUAUGCAUGCAAAAAAGCCAAUGCUAAUCAGUAUUUUCUACCUGUCAAAUUCUACGUGACAACCCAUGUGGUGAUCGAAGAUGCUUUCCUAUAAGCCAAUUCCCAUUUCAUGAUAACAUAUUCACUAUGCACACGUUUUCCUUCUUGCUGUAUUUUAGUGAAAAAGAUUGUGAUUUAUCUUUGUAAAAAUGAUCUUGAGGAACCACAUGCACUACUAUAUAAAAAAGAACAAAUUGGGUAACAUGCAUAAGAAUUUUAGGUUCAACCCUUACUGGGUGGCCCAGUGGCGGACCUAUUAAGGCGCAAGAAGGUGCAGAUAUAUCUCUCUCCGCUGGAAAAAUUAUUGUAGGUGUUUCAAAUGUCUUUGUCCUUUUACUUUCAUUUAUUUUUAUAUUACUCUAUUUACUUAAGUUUACAAUAUAAAUAAGGAAGUAUUCCCCAUUUGGAUUCAAAUAAAAAUACUAGAAAAUCAAAUUCCCACCAAAUCAAAAUAUGAAAAAUCGGUUUUAGUACAAAAUACAAUUUAAGCUAAAAAUGAUAGCUCAUUAAGUCAAUAUAUACUUCAUAAUAAAAUCCCAUAAAAUCAAGUUUUCUUAUUUGAUGUGUAAGGAGUAAAAGCAGCCAAAAAUUAUCUGAAGAAAAUGAUUAUUCCAAAAAAUCAUUUUUCAUACUCAGUCAAUAUUUUAACAUAAAACAAUUUUUCAUGUAUGAUAUGAAUGCAUGAAAUGAGCUAAGGUCAAUUUAGGUAAAAAGUCUUAGAUGUUCAAUCUACAAAGAGUUUUUAGCCUUUCAAAAUUGCACAUCCGCUAAAAAUUUCUAGGUCCGCCAGUGGGCCGGCCGGCCAAUUAUCACUUUAAUCUGCUUGAUGUCUUGUGAUUUGUGAGUAUUUACAUGUAUUUAGAUAUUUUUUUUGUAUUUUUUUUGUUCAUUAGAUUUAAACUCAAAAUCUCCUCCAAUUAUAUAGGACUAAAUGCCAGUAAACUAAAGAGUCAUCCUAAAUUUACUUUAAACCAAGGUUUCCUAAUUACCCAAAAGAAAAGGAAGGAAAGAUAAUUAAACAUGCAUGGAUCUUAUUUGCUAUAUGUGGACAACACAAGCCAUGUGGUGACCAUAUUCGUAUAUUGCAAUCAAGAAAAUGAUGAGUCUUCUGACACUGCAUAUAUAUAUAAAAAAAAAUUUCUUUUCUGUAAAAUCAAUCUCAAUAAUCUCCUAAUUAACUCUUGUUUUACCGAUCCAACUGUUAUGGAGACAAAAUUAAUAAUCUGUGGAUGAUGAAUAAUAUUAUGCAUGCAGACUUGCAGUGCGGAGCUGCUCCUGCUAAUCAGUAAUAACAAACAAAAGAAACAACUAGACAACAACUAUGCGACAGGAUCCCGAGAUUGAUAUAUUGGUCCAUGAUGAGCGCAACCAAUUAUACUGCAAAUUACGUUGGUAGGGUCGUCAUGUGAUGAUGAAAUGUAUGAAAUGAGAACAUGCAAGGUUCCUGAAGCAAGCAGGCCUCGGUGGACAAACUGUACCGUUAGAAUUAUCAUGGCCUAAGAUUAUUGCGAAUAUUUGGCCUACUUUCUGUCCAUCCAAAUUACGUCUCUUCAAUUACCUUCGUUGCUCCAUCAAGACACUAACUAUGUCUCACGUUUCGUAUCUCUCAGGGAGUUUUCAAUGGCCAAAUUUCUGCCAAGGUGAUGGGUUGGUGGCUUGCGUGUUCAAUUUCAUUUCCACUAUGGAUUUAAAAGUAGAUUUAGCCUUGGUUUCUGAUUAAGAGAUGCUUUGGAGUGUUUGUGUAGAUUUUUAUUUUUAUUUUUUAUAUUCUAGUACUUUGGUUAGAACUUAGAAGCUUAUGAAAAUGUUAUAUUAUAAAUAGGAGGAGUGCGCUUCGAUUUGGUUUAAUUUAUAUCUUUAAUCGCAUACAGAUCUCUGAUGUAAUAUUAUGGUUCGAAUUGACUCGGUUUAGAUAUCAAACUAAUAACAUAAACGAAUCAAACCACUCCACUUGAGAGCAUUGUUUUGACCAUUUUUCUUCAAAAGCAUAUAUGAAGGAAGGGAGCUUCAUACCAUAAUAUUGAACAAUACUAGAAAAAUAUAUGGUGAUUAUUGAGCUGCUCUCCUUCCCUCCCCUUCCCUCUACCCCUCUACUCCUUGGGGCUUUUAUCAGCUUUUGACUGAAUUUUGGAGCGUGGCCAUCUUGGUUGAGUUUGUGGGUUGUUUGGUUGUCUUCGCGACGACGUAGUGGUAAAUCAGCUUUAUAAUUUUUUGGGUUAAAUACCUUUUUGGUCAUUAGAUUUUAUAUGAAAUUUUAAUUUGGUCACUGAGAAAUAAAUUUAGCCAAAUUUGUCACUGUAUUAUUAAAAGUUUAUAAUUUAUAGGCUUGCACUUAGUUUUCGUUAAGUUGUUAGAUUAAAUAUCUUUUUAGUCAUAUGAUUUUACACAAAAUUUCAAUUUGAUCACUAAAAAAAAAAAUUAGUCAAAGGCCAUGCAAAUGCGAAACUUUAUUUUGAACUUUUUUUGUUUGUUUGUCAAAUCUAUGUAUUGAUAUAGUUAUGGAUUUGAACUUUUGUGAAUGUGGGAGUAUGAUAAUGGCUGGGAUUAUGAUUGGAGCUUUUUUCAAAAGAUCGAUUUGCAUUUUUGUGACACUAUUAUUUAUUUAUUUUUUUUUUGGAUCAAAGAGAAACUUCAUUAGAUGAACUUCAGCAGUACAAUCAAAGACAUCAACAAGUCAUCUAAAGUACCAAUUCCAAGAGUGCAACAAACUAACAUGCUAAAAUCAAAACUAAAGCGGACAAAAGCCACACCAAAACUACUAGCCCACAUCACCACAAUUAACCAUAAGUCUAAACAAAGCCCACAAAUAACCCAAUUGUUCAUUGGCAGAAUUGUUGUUUUAUUUUAUUUAUUUGUUUUAUUUUCCUCAUAUAUGUUACAGAUACGGUGGUGGGUGUGACUACGACAUCUUUUCUUCAUGUGGUGGCCGUAGGGUUCGUUUAGGCUCAUGGGUGAAACUAUUCUUGAAAUAUGAACAUAUUUUUGUUGAUCGUAAAACCUUUUCGGUCCGACACAUGGACUCUUCGGAAUAAAAUAAUCGAAGGCCGAAUGAAGAUGGUAACAAAGUCGUCCUUUGGUGCGAGGUUUGUGCCAUUCUAGCUAUCACGGUCACUUCUGGCUGUAAUAGCAAUGAGUUAGCUUGGUGGAGUAGAUGAUGGAUAGCGCCUUGGAUUCUGACUUCACCAAGCAAUUAUGGCCAGGUAAGGAACGUGGUCUCGGGCAUUGACCUCUUAGCUUUGGUAACAAAGCUAUUGGUGUGAGCUAGUCGAGUGCUUGUGUGACCGCCAUGUUGGAUGAAGAGUUCUGCUGUCAAUUUGAUCUCUUAAGUCCCUCUUUGAGUUAUUAACUAAGACAAAGCUUAAAUGAGAAAUCGGGGUGAAUUGGAUGAUGCUCAAAGGAAAACUCUUAUGAAUAGAGUUAUUUGUUGAUAUAAAAUAUGGACGCAAUGUUGGUGCUCUGGAGAACUUUGAACAAGCCUCAAAGUCUCUCGGUGAUUUUGUUUUGAGAGGGAAUUUAAGCAUAAUUUUGGGUUGAUUUUGUUGAGACGUUAGUGUGUUAAAAUGAAGUAUAAGUCCCCUAUUUAGAGGCAAAUGUUGCCACCUUUAAAAAUUAUCUGGAAAAGUCGCCCAUCCCCCAAACUUUUGUGUAAGGUGCCUUCUCGUCCUCACGUCAUGCCUUGAUCACUAGUCUCGAGGCUCGUCCUUCUGCAGACGCUUCCCAUCUAAGCUCUAAAGAUUCUAUGUUCGUGUGCACAAGUUUCAAAAAGUAGCUAAACAUCGCACCAUUCCUUUUGCCCUCUAUGCGACAUUUUGAUCAAUACAGAUCACGUGAUACCUUUACCUAAAGUCGGUACUUGCAACUUUUACUCAGCCAAGACUCUUUGGGCAUAGGAACAAGCUGCCGAGCUUCAACUUCGAUCGAGUUUAUCAUGGAUUUAAAUUGGGCCAUGCAUUUGGGCCGUUGUCGAAGUUCUUAGGCUGAGAUUUCAGCCCACAUGUAUCUGUAUUUAGGCUUUUCGUUCUGAUCCUGUCUUAAAAAUAGAACUGAACCCAUUGUUCGGGCAGAGUCAGAAUCAUCACAGCCCGUCUUUGGGCUCAAUUUACUAGUAUUGCCUUAAUUAAGGGCUCAACUUUGUUUAAGCCCAAUCACUGAUUUAAUGGGUUAAUGCCACGUAAUUUCCACAUGUGAGUCCCAAGAGGAAAAAAAUUCAAGUAUAAACAAUUUUGUCAUGACACGAUUCCUCUUUCUAGCCUUAAUUGAUGCUACACCAACCAUAAUUUUUAUUUUUAUAAAUAUAAACGAACGAUAAUCUAAACUACAAGGGGAAUAAGAUUUCUCACAUACAUAUUACCAAGGUACUAUGGGGUUCGAACCUGAGACGACUGGUCUACAAAUCAAGGCCCUUUCCACUGGGUUAGACCCUAUUUGCCACCAACCAUAAAUGUUUAGUCUACGAGCAGCGUGUGUAAGAGCAUAGCAUUUUUAUGGAUUUUGGGUAAUUUUUUAUUUUCUCAGUGAUCAAAUUGAAAUUUCAUGUCAAACCUAAUAACCAAAAAUGUAUUUAAACUAACAACUUAAUGGAAACUUAACGACAAGUCUAUAAAUUGGAAACUUUGGUUAAUAUAGUGACCAAUUUGGCUAAAAAAAAUUUCCAGUGACCAAAUUGAAAUUUCAUGUAAAACUAGUGACAAAAGAAGUAUUUAACCCUUUUUUUUUCUUCGUGUAUUGCAGCCUUUUGAGUUUGUUCCGUGUUUUUAAUCUCUACUUUUAGUUUUUAAUUGUGAGAGUUUAAAGAUUGUAGUUGCAAUUGUAGUUUUGUGUGCUUGGGUUUUCCAGGCUUGUGGUUGUUAUGUGGGAAUUUCUUUGACCCUGUGUGACUAUGAGUGGAGGUACACUUUGUGUACUUGAUCGAUGUUGCUAGUGAAUUUUUCUGUAUUUAGAUUAAUCCUGUAGUUACUGUGAUUCUAUAUUUGUAUUAACUCUACGUGAUUAUUUGUAUUUAUAUUGGCUUUUGUGGGUGACAAAUUUUAUGCCUGAAUUAUGAAUGCAAUCUAUUUCUUCAGGCUUGAAAAUAGAAGAAAGGUGUAUGAAAAGAAAAGAUGGUUGGGAAUAUGUAAUUGUAAAUGCUACAAACACCUUUGUUAGGUUAAAAAUUAAAAAUAAAUAAAAAUAAAAAAAAUUAAAAAAAAACCUUGGAUGUCCCUGGAUUGCUACUUUUAAUAUCAAACAUCAUUUCAUUUUUGUAAUGAUAUAAUUUUACUUCGAAAAAAAAUAAAAAAUCCUUAAGAUUUGUUUUAAUAUUCUUAUAAUUUAAAUGAUUUUCCCGUAUUAUGCUGCCGGUGAUAUGGUGAAAUACCAUAUGAUAAGACUAGGAACGGAAAAUUCGUUAGGCAUUGGGUCCAUGGUUGUUGGUGGAGCUGAGCAGCAUUGGAUCAACAAUCAUGUCCGGCAAUGGCAGGGCUGUGUCGUCUGGGCCCCCACAAAACAUGCUUUUAUUAGUAUUGUACAAGUUUUAACAAGUGUGGAUUAUGUGUGACAGGUUGUACAACAAAAUAAAGUGUGUCUGUCUGAGAAUCUUUUUCUAUUUCGACGGAAAAAUAGAAACAAAUUCAAAUUAUCUCUUACAUGGUGCCCUAUGUGGUGUUCCACUUUUGGAACAGAAGCUUCUUUUUUAUUUUGCCCAAUUCUUAGGGUUUUUACUCAGGUUUUAAAAGAAAAAUUGUUGGACCAAAGUGUAUAUGCAUUCCAUUUAUAAAUUAAAAAAAAAAAUCAAGAGAACUGAGCACUAUUUAGCGUUUAAAGUUGCAAAAUCGUACUUUAUUUUAAAAGUGACCAUUUCGAACACGACUCAAAAAUAACACAAAAAAGUACCGCGACAAUAUCUUUGCGUAUUUGUAGAAAAAGAAAAGAAAAUAUUAUUCUAGACAGAAAAAACAAAAUAAGAUCUUUUACACCUUACCUAAUUUCUCAGUCUUUUCAGAAGUGUUUUCUUUUUUCUUCUAAGUAUCCGUUAAGUCCAUGUUAUACCUGUGAAUAGUAAUAAUACUACAAGAUAGCAUAUGAUUGUGAAAAUCUUAUGAUAAUGAUAUUUUGACAUAGGUGAAAUGCACAUCACGGUUUGGUGUUAUACUUCUAGAGGGUCAAUCGAAAUUUCGAUGAGAUUCCACACUAUAUCAUGACAAUUUUGAAAUGAACUAUUAAUUUACUGAUGAAAUCAAAAGGAAUCUUAUUGAAUGCUUUUGUCAAUUAGUCAAUUUUGAGUUCUUUUUAAUUAAUGGGGAAGAUGAUAUUUGAAUUUAAGCCCUCUUUUAACAUUAGGAAAAGUAUUAUUACAUCAUAAUCAAUCUUAAAUUAUAAAUAGAUUCUUAAUUUUUUGUUGUUGAGAAAUUCAUAAUUGUAUUUAUAAUUCAACUAAAAAAUUCACUAGCCACAAAAGCCCAAUACAAAUGAGGCACAAAUGGUUAUUACAAUAACAAAGCGAUUUAACAUCAAAAUUAACGAUCACGCAGAAUUGAAGAAACUUAGGCACAGACAUUCCAACUAAGAUUGCAAACUCACAACAACCAAAAAGAGAUAAAGUUUGAAAAAACCAAGCCAUAAAAAUACAAAUAAAACUCUCACAAAAAAGAGGUGGAAAACUCUCACAAAAAGAUAGGUGAAAAAUUCUCACAAAAGGAGAGGUGAAAACUACACAGAAAACUCAAAGAGUCUCUGUGACUUAUUUCAAAUGUAAAGAAACUGCAAAAAGGAUAGUGGUAGAGAUUUGAUAUUAAAACACGAGUGGAGAUUCGACCCCGAGACGCAGCUGCCUAUGAUGGGUGGAGGAAAAUCAUAACAAAGCAAAGACAAAUAGGGAAAACCUUAUGUCUUUGAAAAUAGGGGAAGAGAGGAGGGGAGAGGGGAGGAAGAACACUGGCUUCCUCCCCCCUCAAAAUGAAAACGGCUCUAGAGUGUUCUUUGGGAGAGAGAGGGCUAGGGUUUUAGACGAAGACAACCUAUUCUUAAAUUGUUUAAAUAGCCAAAAAAAAGAAAGUGAACAUUGUGGUAAUUUUGACAUACUUUAGAUUUGUUAUAUAUUUUUGCAUAAAGCAUGAGACAAGUAACGACUUAUUUGUAAAAUUUUAGGCAGACAUAUGAGAAAAUUCAAAGUGCCGUUAAUUGUAAUUAGAGAAUAAAUGAAAGAUUUGUUUGUUUGUUUUUGUUUUUUUUCCUAGUCGAUAGGAUGAGGGAAUACAAACUCUGAUGCCAAGGGUGGGUUUCAAACCUCAAACAUAGUAUGAGGCCAAACACUCUAUGGUAUGACCCCAUUGAUAUAAACGGAAGAUUUUGUUUACUGUCAUUAACUGAAGGAUGUUGAUUUAACCUAUCUACAUUUCAAAAAUUAACUCAUUCAAUGACACAAUAUAUGCGCGCGUGAACGACGGAUUCUAGGUGCCGGAUAAGUAUGUUCAACCCAAUAGAGAAUUUUAAUAGGAAUUGGGGUGGGUAAGUGGCUAUUAGGCAUGGCAUUGGCAGCUCAUGAAUGUUGAAUGUAUGGAAUGGGUAUGGGUAUUGAAGGGAGAUGAGCAUCAUCAUCAUGCAUGGGAAGCAAAUCUUAAAAGGGAAUCAAAAGAAAUUGCCCUCUCUUUGCCAGCACUCCCCCACCUGCUCAAGAUAUGGUAAGCGCCACAUGAUUUCACACCCAGGGAAAAAGGCACCUCUGCUGAUGUCACCUGUAUCUCUUGGGAGGAUUUUGGUGGGCCCCACCUCCCCCACCCUUUCUCUCUCUCUCUCCUCUUCUCUUCUCUCACCUCCACGCUCAACCUUUACCCUUUUGCUUUCAUCCAAGACUUUCUAUUUUUCACACAAAAUCUUCCUGCCCUCUCUUAUUAUGUCUAUAGCCUUUUGUAUAAAUACAACCCACCACCCCCCCAUCAACUAAAAUAUUCAUUGGGAUUAUUUUCUUUCAUUUCUUAUUACUUGUUUCAUUUUUCUUUUGUUUUUCUUUUUCUUUUGCAUUGCUUGCCCUGUAAUUCAAAAAUCAAGUUGGAAAAUUUACAAGAUUUGGGAUGAAAUCUGGUCGGAUCUUGCUUUGUGGGAUGUGGAUAUUGGUGGGUCUUCUUCUUAUUUCAAUACAAAGCUCCCCUCUUUUUCAUCUUCUCCUCCUCCUCCCAUAGGAAAACCAAACCAACCCACCAAAGAAGAAAAAAAGCUCACAGAAAAAAAGCUCACAAAGGCUUUUAGCUAUUUCUCAGUCACUACCAUCUGUUCUUCUCUUGGCCUUUUGGUAUUUGCUUUCAUCUUGAAUCUUCUUCAUCUGGUGAAAUGGUGAUGGCUGCUGCAGAUUCACAGUUUCAUGUUUUAGCUGUUGAUGACAGCCUCAUAGAUCGCAAACUGAUUGAGAGGCUCCUCAAGACCUCUUCAUAUCAAGGUACUUCAUUUCUCGGGUUGCUUCUACUUACCACCCACUCCAACAGCACCAAAAAGAAAAAAACAAAAAAAAACAAAAAAAAAAACAAAGGGAGGUAAUCUGAAUGCAAGUUUCAAUCUUGGGUCUCAUUGUUUUAUUAUGUUAUCGUUGUGGUGUGAUUUUUAUGCUCCUCUGUUCUUCAUUGCAGUUACUACAGUUGAUUCUGGUAGCAAGGCUCUAGAGUUUCUGGGUUUGUAUGAGGAUGACCAAAGCAGUCCAGAUUCA